rnacentral:rRNA from 1 species
AUGAGCAAAGAGAUAUCAACCAAGGGUGAUGUCUAUAGCUUCGGAGUGCUUCUGUUACAAUUGAUAACAAGGUGUAGUCCAACUGAUGAAAAAUUUAACGAUGGUAUACGCCUCCAUGAAUUUGUUGAUAGAGCAUUUAUAAAGAAUAUUCAUGAGGUUGUUGACCCGACAAUGCUACAAGAUAACAGCAAUGCAACUGACAUGAUGGAGAAGUGCGUCAUUCCACUUUUAAGAAUAGGCCUCUCUUUCUCUAUGACAUCACCCAAAGAGCGGCCGGGUAUGGCACAAGUUUCUACUGAGAUACUUAGAAUAAAGCAUGUGGCCUCAGACACAUGCGUGUCUGAUGAAGCAGAUAAUUGGCAGGAUAGUAGCAAGCAACAGAAGUUCAUGUAA